UACGUAGGGUGCAAGCGUUGUUCGGAAUCAUUGGGCGUAAAGCGCGUGUAGGCGGCUUUGCAAGUCGGGUGUGAAAGCCCUCAGCUCAACUGAGGAAGUGCGCCCGAAACUGCAGAGCUUGAGUACCGGAGAGGAUGGCGGAAUUCCCCAAGUAGAGGUGAAAUUCGUAGAUAUGGGGAGGAACACCGGUGGCGAAGGCGGCCAUCUGGACGGAUACUGACGCUGAGACGCGAAAGCGUGGGGAGCAAACAGG
rnacentral:rRNA from 1 species